rnacentral:rRNA from 1 species
AGUGAACGCUGGCGGUAGGCCUAACACAUGCAAGUCGAACGGCAGCACAGUAAGAGCUUGCUCUUACGGGUGGCGAGUGGCGGACGGGUGAGGAAUACAUCGGAAUCUACUUUUUCGUGGGGGAUAACGUAGGGAAACUUACGCUAAUACCGCAUACGACCUACGGGUGAAAGCAGGGGAUCUUCGGACCUUGCGCGAUUGAAUGAGCCGAUGUCGGAUUAGCUAGUUGGCGGGGUAAAGGCCCACCAAGGCGACGAUCCGUAGCUGGUCUGAGAGGAUGAUCAGCCACACUGGAACUGAGACACGGUCCAGACUCCUACGGGAGGCAGCAGUGGGGAAUAUUGGGCAAUGGGCGCAAGCCUGAUCCAGCCAUACCGCGUGAGUGAAGAAGGCCUUCGGGUUGUAAAGCUCUGUUGUUGGGAAAGAAAAGCAGCAGGUUAAUACCCCGCUGUUCUGACGGUACCCAAAGAAUAAGCACCGGCUAACUUCGUG